GUGCUCGCUUCGGCAGCACAUAUACUAAAAUUGGAACGAUACAGAGAAGAUCAGCACUACCCCUGCACAAGGGACCUCAUUUCCGAGGGUAGCAAGAAGCAAAGCUUU
ensembl:snRNA U6 U6 spliceosomal RNA